UAAAAACCAUGUUUUCUUGAUCAAAACCCAAUUGUUUUUUUACAAGAGAACUAUGUUUAAAAAUAAUUAUACCUAUGCUUCUUCAAUACGUAGAAGGAAAAUUGGUUUUGUGGAAUAAAACCAUGUUAUGUCUUCAUCAAAACCUAGUGUUUAUUGAAAAAGACCAGGUUAUUUCUUAUAAAAUCUAGUUUCCAAUCCAUGUGCUAGAAACCAAAUCUUAACACUAGAGGCGCUGAUUACGUUCCUUGCAACGCAUCGUCUUUUUACCUCGUCUCCACAGCGGAACACGCAUGAUUCCUCUGGGGGAGAGGUUGAGUGGGAGAUGAGGAGCUUUCAUUACUCCACAUGCGCAGUGAACCCGUCGGUUUUGUUUAAGCGCGCGCAGUUCAUCCCGUGCAUGCUGUCAGCUGUGCAGAUCGGAUGUCAGUCAGUUUAGCGCUACAAAACGAAAUGUCCGAUAGUUCUGACCUAGGUGAUUUUGGGAGUAACCUGAAAAAGGCUAUUGCGAGUGUUCCAUCCCAGCAGGUACAUGUACAAGUAGCCAGACCGAGGCCAAUAGCCAGACCAUGACUGAGAAUGCCACAUUGAAAUAAUGAGUCAUCACACUAACAGUCUAGGUCCUGAACACCAGCAGCGCAUCUGGUAGUGGUCUGUAAUUAUUUCGACCUCGGUCAUCAAUACCAGCAGCCUCUGGUAGUCGACUUGGGUCAUCGCACCAGCAGCCUCUGGCAGUCAACUUGGCCUUGGGUUAUCAACACCAGCAGCCUCUGGUAGUCAUCAUAGGUCAUCAACGACAGCAGCCUCUGGUAGUCGACUUGGGUCAUCGCACCAGCAGCCUCUGGUAGUCAACAUGGGUCAUCAACACCAGCAGCCUCUGGCAGUCAACUUGGCCUUGGGUUAUCAACACCAGCAGCCGCUGGUAGUCAACAUGGGUCAUCAACACCAGCAGCCUCUGGCAGUCAACAUGGGUCAUCAACACCAGCAGCCUCUGGCAGUCAACUUGGCCUUGGGUUAUCAACACCAGCAGCCUCUGGUAGUCAACUUUGAUCAUCAACACCAGCAGUCUCUCGCAGUCGACUUCCUACCACUCAAAAUAUCCCUGGACUGCAGCCGAGUUCGCCAACCGCCACUGCUACUGAAGUGCUGCAUCCAUCGAAUGCAUCCACUGUGAGUGUGAGUGUGAGUGAGCCAAUGUCUAUAUUUGAUGAGAAUGAAGAUGAUCACAAGGAUGCUGUUAUCGUGAAUAAUGAGCUGCUGUCCGACAGUAAUUUGAGGAAUCUGCUUGCAGUUCAAGAUUUUGAGUUUUUGCAGAGCCUCGCAUCAUCGGGCAACUCAAGGAGAAAAGUGACCCUCAAGGCAUCAAUGCAUUUGCCUUUGCAACCUGAGGUUCGCUUUUUGACCUUCGCUAACGGGAUCUGGCUGUAACGGAUCAAAGAAGGGAAUCAGAUAGAAGACAAGCACAGUUGAAUUUGAGGAUGGCUCGAACACAAAGGAGGAGGAGAGCAGCUGCUCAAGACGAGAGGAAAGAGGUUCAGUUACGAAAGCUCAAGGACGUUGGUGAUGAACCUGGAGAAGGGAUAUUGACUUCAUUUCGUAGUAAUCGCCCAUUGAGACGACGGUUCCGUCACUAAUGAUGUAUUGCUCCUGUUUAUUGUGUUGAAGGAUCCAGCUCAUCACCAGCUGUGAAGUUAUUUCUUGCUGGGAAAGAACUUUCAAGUUUCGAAGAUAGCCUCACUGAUGUCGGUAUUUCCUCUAAUACGUCAUUGAUGGUGAAGGAUGUUGCAGUCGAUGAUGUGGAUGUGGAAGAAGAUGACAGCUCAGAUGAAGAAGAGGUGGUAGCUGAUAGUGUACAUGAACCAACCGAGAAUGAGAAACAUGCCAGGUGUGGCAAUGACUGAUUUUGCUGAUCUUCGAAAAUGAUCAAUGGAGCUCAAGAUUUUCAUGGGAGCUGGACAAGAGAGAAGGA